UACGGGGGGAGCAAGCGUUGUUCGGAUUUACUGGGCGUAAAGGGCGCGUAGGCGGCCAGCACAAGUCAGUUGUGAAAUCUCCGAGCUUAACUCGGAAAGGUCAACUGAUACUGUGCGGCUAGAGUGCGGAAGGGGCAACUGGAAUUCUUGGUGUAGCGGUGAAAUGCGUAGAUAUCAAGAGGGACACCUGCGGCGAAGGCGGGUUGCUGGGCCGACACUGACGCUGAUGCGCGAAAGCCAGGGGAGCGAACGGG
rnacentral:rRNA from 1 species